rnacentral:rRNA from 1 species
GACGAACGCUGGCGGCGUGCUUAACACAUGCAAGUCGAACGAACAGGCCCUGCUCUUGCGGGGUGCUCGUGUGGCGAACGGGUGUGUAACACGUGAGUAACCUGCCCCUGACUUUGUGAUAACUUCAGGGAACUCCGGCUAAUACCGGAUAUGAGCUCCUGCAGCACGGUGGUGGAUGGAAAGAGUCGGCGGUUGUGGCUGGACUCGAGGGUUAUCCGCUUGUUUGUGGAGUAGUGGCUGACCAAGGCUUCGACGGGUAGCCGGCCUGGGCGGGUUGCCGGCCACAAUGCGACUGAGAUACGGCCCAGACGCCUACGGGAGGCAGCAGUGGGGAAUAUUGCACAAUAGGCGGAAGCCUGAUACAGCGGCGCCGCGUGCGGGAUGACGGCCUUCGGGUUGUAAACCACUUUCUACUGUGACGAAGCGUGAGUGACGGUAAUUGGUAAAGAAGCACCGGCUAACUACGUG